AGCUUUGGUCUCCUGAGGGAGGUUCAAGUUUAUGCCCUGGAGAUUAGAACCCCAUCAUAAAUCCAUACCAGUUAUAACCCCCCUCGUGCUUGCAUAAGACUUAACCAUUAUUACUAAAUUUGCCGAUUUAACAAGAUCAAAAUGGUCAUUCUGAGCAUAUCACACCUUCCACACAGGCAAUGGAAAAAAGAAAACUAAAGAUAAAUUUAAGUCUAUUCAUAAGCAUGUCUUGUGCCACAUUAAAGGAUGGAGCUAUGAAGAAAUGUGUUUCCAGAAAUUAUGAAAUAUAUUCAUAAACCUUCAAUCUACAGAAUGCUGGUGUAACAGUUCUAAGGGCCCUGUAAACUGAAGCUAGAUGACGUGAUACAAACCUCAAAGAAAAUCUGAAGCCACAAUCGCUCACUUGAGCCAAUCUUCUGCACACCUGCUCCUGGAUGGGCUACUCAUGAACUUUACUGGUGUACCCAAAAAUAUCACCAGAGACGUUCAAACUGCAAACCAGGAAAAUCCGUCAGAUUGCCACUGCCUGACCCCACGCCAUCUAAAGAUGCCUCGAGCCUGACAUCUAGAAAUCUUAACGGGCAGCUCCUGGGACUCAAAACUUUUUCUUUUGUUCCUAUAGAAACGUCUCUUAUUAAUUACUUGGUUGCUUGCACAAUAUAGGCCUAACUUUGGGAGUCCUGCUGCAUCACCGCUUCUUGAAAUGAGACACUGCUUCCUGAAAUGGGACUGAAGGGGAGUACUUGUCGCCCUAGAAAUAUGCGUCUUUGGCAUGAGGAUUACUGUGAGCUGAAGGCGAUCAAACCCCAGCAGAUUCAGGAAAGGCUCUUUUCCUACCCCUCACAUGUCUAAAUUUACAUUAGAAAGGUGUCCUGUACCAGGAAGAAAGUUAUUAGCAGAGAUAGCUUUACCUAAGAACCGUGUCUGCAUAUCCUCUGGCUUCCUGUGAAUGGCCUUCCUCCUCUUUAUAUCCCCAGACCCCUAACUGUUUCCUUGGCUCAGAGUGUUAUAUGAGCCUCAAUCACCUAUCUGCCCUUUGGCUCUCGUAUUUUUACUGGGCUCCCAUAGGUAUAAAAACGUAUUUUUCUACUGUUAA